AUUGAACGCUGGCGGCAUGCUUUACACAUGCAAGUCGAACGGUAACAGGCCGCAAGGUGCUGACGAGUGGCGAACGGGUGAGUAACGCAUCGGAACGAGCCCAGUCGUGGGGGAUAACGCAGCGAAAGCUGCGCUAAUACCGCAUACGAUCUCUGGAUGAAAGCGGGGGACCGAAAGGCCUCGCGCGAUGGGAGCGGCCGAUGUCAGAUUAGGUAGUUGGUGGGGUAAAGGCUCACCAAGCCAACGAUCUGUAGCUGGUCUGAGAGGACGACCAGCCACACUGGGACUGAGACACGGCCCAGACUCCUACGGGAGGCAGCAGUGGGGAAUUUUGGACAAUGGGCGCAAGCCUGAUCCAGCAAUGCCGCGUGCAGGAAGAAGGCCUUCGGGUUGUAAACUGCUUUUGUACGGAACGAAACGGUCCUGGUUAAUACCUGGGGCUAAUGACGGUACCGUAAGAAUAAGCACCGGCUAACUACGUGCCAGCAGCCGCAGUAAGAC
rnacentral:rRNA from 1 species